rnacentral:lncRNA from 1 species
CAGCAGGGUGCUGAUGCCGCGCGCGCCAUCGACGUCCUCAACUUCAACGUCGUCAACGGCAAGCCCAUUCGCAUCAUGUACUCCCAGCGCGACCCCGCGCUUCGCAAGUCCGGCGUCGGCAACAUCUUCAUCAAGAACCUCGACAAGGAGAUCGACAACAAGGCUCUCUACGACACCUUCUCCCAGUUCGGCAACAUCGUGUCCGCCAAGGUCGCCGCCGAUGGCCAGGGAGUCUCCAAGGGCUACGGUUUCGUGCAGUUCGCCGAGCAGGAGGCUGCGCAGCAGGCCAUCGACAAGGUGAACGGGAUGCUCCUGAACGACAAGCAGGUGUACGUCGGCCCGUUCCAGCGCCGCGGCGAGCGCGGCGGCGGCCCGACCACGUUCAACAACGUGUACGUGAAGAACCUUCACGAGUCUGUCGACGAGGACAAGCUCAAGGAGGUGUUCGGUGCCGUCGGCAAGCUCACCUCCGUCGUCAUCAUGAAGGACGGCGAGGGCAAGUCCAAGGGCUUCGGCUUUGUCUGCUUCGAGGAAUCCGAGGCUGCCUCCG